rnacentral:rRNA from 1 species
AAUCAACGCUGGCGGCGUGCCUAACACAUGCAAGUCGCACGAGAAAGCGGGAGCAAUCCUGUGAGUACAGUGGCGUACGGGUGAGUAACACUUGACUACCUACCCUCGAGUGGGGAAUAACCUCGGUAAACCUGGGCUAAUACCGCAUAACACUGGGCGGUCAAAGGCGAAAGGCGGGUGGGGAGGGGGUCGGAGAGGAUUAGCUAGUUGGUGGGGUAAUGGCCCACCAAGGCGACGAUCAGUAGCCGGGCUGAGAGGGCGCACGGCCACACUGGAACUGAAACACGGUCCAGACUCCUACGGGAGGCAGCAGUGGGGAAUUUUGGGCAAUGGGGGAAACCCUGACCCGGCAACGCCGCGUGGAGGAUGAAGUCCCUUGGGACGUAAACUCCUUUCGACCGGGACGAUAAUGACGGUACCGGUGGAAGAAGCCCCGGCUAACUCCGUGCCAGCAGCCGCAGUAAAAC